rnacentral:rRNA from 1 species
AAGUCGAACGAACUCUGGUAUUGAUUGGUGCUUGCAUCAUGAUUUACAUUUGAGUGAGUGGCGAACUGGUGAGUAACACGUGGGAAACCUGCCCAGAAGCGGGGGAUAACACCUGGAAACAGAUGCUAAUACCGCAUAACAACUUGGACCGCAUGGUCCGAGCUUGAAAGAUGGCUUCGGCUAUCACUUUUGGAUGGUCCCGCGGCGUAUUAGCUAGAUGGUGGGGUAACGGCUCACCAUGGCAAUGAUACGUAGCCGACCUGAGAGGGUAAUCGGCCACAUUGGGACUGAGACACGGCCCAAACUCCUACGGGAGGCAGCAGUAGGGAAUCUUCCACAAUGGACGAAAGUCUGAUGGAGCAACGCCGCGUGAGUGAAGAAGGGUUUCGGCUCGUAAAACUCUGUUGUUAAAGAAGAACAUAUCUGAGAGUAACUGUUCAGGUAUUGACGGUAUUUAACCAGAAAGCCACGGCUAACUACGUGCCAGCAGCCGCGGUAAUACGUAGGUGGCAAGCGUUGUCCGGAUUUAUUGGGCGUAAAGCGAGCGCAGGCGGUUUUUUAAGUCUGAUGUGAAAGCCUUCGGCUCAACCGAAGAAGUGCAUCGGAAACUGGGAAACUUGAGUGCAGAAGAGGACAGUGGAACUCCAUGUGUAGCGGUGAAAUGCGUAGAUAUAUGGAAGAACACCAGUGGCGAAGGCGGCUGUCUGGUCUGUAACUGACGCUGAGGCUCGAAAGUAUGGGUAGCAAACAGGAUUAGAUACCCUGGUAGUCCAUACCGUAAACGAUGAAUGCUAAGUGUUGGAGGGUUUCCGCCCUUCAGUGCUGCAGCUAACGCAUUAAGCAUUCCGCCUGGGGAGUACGGCCGCAAGGCUGAAACUCAAAGGAAUUGACGGGGGCCCGCACAAGCGGUGGAGCAUGUGGUUUAAUUCGAAGCUACGCGAAGAACCUUACCAGGUCUUGACAUACUAUGCAAAUCUAAGAGAUUAGACGUUCCCUUCGGGGACAUGGAUACAGGUGGUGCAUGGUUGUCGUCAGCUCGUGUCGUGAGAUGUUGGGUUAAGUCCCGCAACGAGCGCAACCCUUAUUAUCAGUUGCCAGCAUUAAGUUGGGCACUCUGGUGAGACUGCCGGUGACAAACCGGAGGAAGGUGGGGAUGACGUCAAAUCAUCAUGCCCCUUAUGACCUGGGCUACACACGUGCUACAAUGGAUGGUACAACGAGUUGCGAACUCGCGAGAGUAAGCUAAUCUCUUAAAGCCAUUCUCAGUUCGGAUUGUAGGCUGCAACUCGCCUACAUGAAGUCGGAAUCGCUAGUAAUCGCGGAUCAGCAUGCCGCGGUGAAUACGUUCCCGGGCCUUGUACACACCGCCCGUCACACCAUGAGAGUUUGUAACACCCAAAGUCGGUGGGGUAACCUUUUAGGAACCAGCCGCCUAA